rnacentral:lncRNA from 1 species
UGUGUGGAAAUUUUGUUGUAAAAUGAUUAAUAUUUGUUGGUAUAAGUCACUGGUCAAAAAGCUCUCUUAAUUUAUAAUCCAUAUUGACGAAUCAACCACGUGUGAUGUCCUCGUGUUCGGGGUCUACAUGUAAAAUGCACGGGAGUCACAUUUUCAGAAAUAAUUAAAAUGUCUUUUAAAAACAGCAAAUAUUCUCAUAAAAUUGUUAAAAGUCUCCUAUUAAUCUUUUUAGGGUCACUCCACCAUGUAACGAUAUCGCCUCGUCUUAUUAAUACUAGUGUUGGGGUUGCGACUAGCUCAUGAACAAAAACACAUCUUACGUUAACGACAUUU